GCCACCAUAGUUUAGUUGGUAAAAUACUUUAGCGGUGAUUUUGGAGAUGCAGGUUCAAUUCCUGUUGGUGGCUCCA
rnacentral:tRNA from 1 species